rnacentral:rRNA from 1 species
UGCGCAGGCGGUUUUGUAAGACAGUGGUGAAAUCCCCGGGCUCAACCCGGGAACUGCCAUUGUGACUGCAAGGCUGGAGUGCGGCAGAGGGGGAUGGAAUUCCGCGUGUAGCAGUGAAAUGCGUAGAUAUGCGGAGAACACCGAUGGCGAAGGCAAUCCCCUGGGCCUGCACUGACGCUCAUAGCACGAAAGGCUGGGAGCAAACA